rnacentral:rRNA from 3 species
AUAUGCCGAGAGGUGAAACGAAUUUUGCCUGGGGAUGAGCUCGCGUCUGAUUAGCUUGUUGGUGGGGUAAAAGCCUACCAAGGCUUCGAUCAGUAGCUGGUCUGAGAGGACGAUCAGCCACACUGGGACUGAGACACGGCCCAGACUCCUACGGGAGGCAGCAGUGGGGAAUUUUCCGCAAUGGGCGCAAGCCUGACGGAGCAACGCCGCGUGAGGGAUGAAGGCCUUUGGGCUGUAAACCUCUUUUCUCAAGGAAGAAGACCUGACGGUACUUGAGGAAUAAGCCACGGCUAAUUCCGUGCCAGCAGCCGCGGUAAUACGGGAGUGGCAAGCGUUAUCCGGAAUUAUUGGGCGUAAAGCGUCCGCAGGCGGCCGUUUAAGUCUGUUGUUAAAUCGUGGAGCUCAACUCCAUCACGGCAAUGGAAACUGUUCGGCUUGAGUAUGGUAGGGGCAGAGGGAAUUUCCGGUGUAGCGGUGAAAUGCGUAGAUAUCGGGAAGAACACCAGUGGCAAAAGCGCUCUGCUGGGCCAUUACUGACGCUCAUGGACGAAAGCCAGGGGAGCGAAAGGGAUUAGAUACCCCUGUAGUCCUGGCCGUAAACGAUGAACACUAGAUGUUGGGGGAAUCGACCCCUCCGGUGUCGUAGCUAACGCGUUAAGUGUUCCGCCUGGGGAGUACGCACGCAAGUGUGAAACUCAAAGGAAUUGACGGGGGCCCGCACAAGCGGUGGAGUAUGUGGUUUAAUUCGAUGCAACGCGAAGAACCUUACCAAGGCUUGACAUCCUGCGAAUCUCCAAGAAAUUGGAGAGUGCCUUCGGGAACGCAGUGACAGGUGGUGCAUGGCUGUCGUCAGCUCGUGUCGUGAGAUGUUGGGUUAAGUCCCGCAACGAGCGCAACCCACGUUUUUAGUUGCCAGCAUUCAGUUGGGCACUCUAGAAAGACUGCCGGUGACAAACCGGAGGAAGGUGUGGACGACGUCAAGUCAUCAUGCCCCUUACGCCUUGGGCUACACACGUACUACAAUGCUGCGGACAAAGAGU